UAUGAUUUUAUUGAAAUUGUGGAUCGUGACUUAAUACGGCCUUGGCAGGUCACUCAUUUCGUAUUAAGAGACUUCUGCCCGAAUUGCCACAUGUGGCUUAAUAAUAGUGUGUUAAUGCCCCGGCAUUUUAUAGUGGACAUGGUGUUCGGGGUAAACGUUGAACAUUUCAUAGACACUGUUUUGUUUUGGUGCAGUGGCUGUACAGCACUAAGAUAUGAGCAUUAUCCCCCCGACGAAUACGAGCAUUGCAACGGUUGACUGUAGUAACGUGUCGGUGGGCCGCCCGGUGGCUGCUACACACAGCCGUAUCAAUACAGGAUAAUCUCGUCACCGGCGGCAGCGGUGUCACAAGGACAGUCAACCGUUUUAUUAUAUAAAUUUUAUGAUGUCAGAUUUAUA